GAUGAAGCCCUUCGGGGUGGAUUAGUGGCGAACGGGUGAGUAACACGUGGGCAAUCUGCCCUGCACUCUGGGACAAGCCCUGGAAACGGGGUCUAAUACCGGAUAUCACUCUUGCAGGCAUCUGUGAGGGUCGAAAGCUCCGGCGGUGCAGGAUGAGCCCGCGGCCUAUCAGCUUGUUGGUGAGGUAAUGGCUCACCAAGGCGACGACGGGUAGCCGGCCUGAGAGGGCGACCGGCCACACUGGGACUGAGACACGGCCCAGACUCCUACGGGAGGCAGCAGUGGGGAAUAUUGCACAAUGGGCGAAAGCCUGAUGCAGCGACGCCGCGUGAGGGAUGACGGCCUUCGGGUUGUAAACCUCUUUCAGCAGGGAAGAAGCGAAAGUGACGGUACCUGCAGAAGAAGCGCCGGCUAACUACGUGCCAGCAGCCGCGGUAAUACGUAGGGCGCAAGCGUUGUCCGGAAUUAUUGGGCGUAAAGAGCUCGUAGGCGGCUUGUCACGUCGGGUGUGAAAGCCCGGGGCUUAACCCCGGGUCUGCAUUCGAUACG
rnacentral:rRNA from 1 species